UACCAGCACCCCGAGUGGUCGGGACGUUUAUUGGGCCUAAAGCAUCCGUAGCCGGUUCUACAAGUCUUCCGUUAAAUCCACCUGCUUAACAGAUGGGCUGCGGAAGAUACUAUAGAGCUAGGAGGCGGGAGAGGCAAGCGGUACUCGAUGGGUAGGGGUAAAAUCCGUUGAUCCAUUGAAGACCACCAGUGGCGAAGGCGGCUUGCCAGAACGCGCUCGGACGGUGAGGGAUGAAAGCUCGGGGGAGCAAACCGG
rnacentral:rRNA from 1 species